CAAGAAAGGAACGACAUUGCGACAAAUUGAGACGUAGCACCGAUCUAAACGAAGAUCGUUACGAAACGUAUCGUUCUAAGAAAUUUGUAGAACCUAAUCGUGGAUAGACACAAAUUCGGUAAUACCCAACAAAGCGGUUUAGAUGAGUCAUUCGAGAAGUAAUUACGGACUAAGCGGAACCAAGCAAGAACCUCUUACGUUUACGCAAAAAACUCCUUUUGGGUCCGUGGUCGAGAGCAAAAUCCUUGAGUGUUACCGGAAGUAACUCAUAGAAGAUAGAAGAGGAUAGAGGAUAUAGAAAAGGACGAAAAGGCGAAAGUUGGACGUUUUACGUGAGUGGGAUGAAAAUCCCAUUGGCGCGGCACGAUCAAUAAUACAGGUGCCGGCGUCUAGACAGCAGCGUUGCAGAGAA